rnacentral:rRNA from 1 species
CAACGGCGUACACUAAUAUUGUUGCUGUUAAAACGCUCGUAGUCCAAUGCCGAGCGCAGGGCUGUGGGGUGGGGCCCUGCCAUCUGGCCUGGCCCUCUCCUUUCUGGACCCCCACAGAUUGACCCUGUGUUCACCUGACGUGGAAACAAUACCAUUGCCGACCAGGCAAUGUCCCCUUGCCGAUGUGUCCUUCACUGGUCACCGACGCGGCGUCGCCCGUAGAGCAGGCCCAGGAUGAAACAGCAGCAUCCACCUCCAGGGGUGUCCACGGCUCCUACCGUGAACAACUCAGAGUGUCUAAAGCGACCGAAAGCCCUUGGGUAUCUCGGCUGAAUGAUCUUGCAUGGAAUAGGAAGGGAUCGACUGGAUGGACUCCCUGUCUGCCGUGUCUUUAUGUCCAUCGCGGGCAAUGCAGCGUGUGUCCGCAGCCAUUUGCCGGGGAGUGCUUGCACCCCCGAUGGCUACGGUGUGUGCUGA